UACAGAGGGUGCGAGCGUUAAUCGGAAUUACUGGGCGUAAAGCGUGCGUAGACGGUUAUUUAAGUCGGGUGUGAAAUCUCCGGGCUUAACCCGGAAACUGCCAUUGAUACUAUUUGUCUUGAAUACUGUGGAGGUCAGCGGAAUAUGUCAUGUAGCGGUGAAAUGCUUAGAUAUGACAUAGAACACCAAUUGCGAAGGCAGCUGGCUACACAAAUAUUGACACUGAGGCACGAAAGCGUGGGGAUCAAACAGG
rnacentral:rRNA from 1 species